rnacentral:rRNA from 1 species
AUUGAACGCUGGCGGCGUGCCUAACACAUGCAAGUCGAGCGGUAACAGGUGUAGCAAUACAUGCUGACGAGCGGCGGACGGGUGAGCAAUAUUUGGGAAUCUGCCUAUUAGUGGGGGAUAACCCGGGGAAACUCGGGCUAAUACCGCAUACGCUCUACGGAGGAAAGCCGGGGACCGCAAGGCCUGGCGCUAGUAGAUGAGCCCAAAUCGGAUUAGCUAGUUGGUGAGGAACGGCUCACCAAGGCGACGAUCCGUAGCUGGUUUGAGAGAACGACCAGCCACACCGGAACUGAGACACGGUCCGGACUCCUACGGGAGGCAGCAGUGGGGAAUAUUGGACAAUGGGCGAAAGCCUGAUCCAGCGACGCCGCGUGGGUGAAGAAGGCCUGCGGGUUGUAAAGCCCUUUCGGUUGGGAAGAAAAGUAUUGGCCUAAUACGCUAGUACCUUGACGUAACCAACAAAAGAAGCACCGGCUAACUCUGUGCCAGCAGCCGC